GUUAAGAAAUUAGAAGUGAAGGAAGGCUUCUGACACGACACAGGAGGUGAGUGCUUGUGACUCACGAUCCCGUGCACAGCACACAUGGCUCCGUAUGCUUGGAACAGGACUCACACGUGGGGCUUGGGAAGAAAAUGUUCCCUGAAUUUGCACAGGAAAGUCCCUGAGGGAAUAAUAUCGUCUACAACCCAGUCAUUGCCCGAUCAGGACCCAACAAGUUCCACUGAGCAGUAAUUAAGUAAGCGCAGCAGGAAAAUUCAGGUUUCAAGACGCUGGGUUUUAUGAUUACAGAUGUUCUUCUCGGCAUAGGCUGCUCAGCAGUUCCUUGGGUCAUAAAUGUUUAAUUUUUAAUCUGUUUCUUUAUCAGGUUUGCGUACUGCAGGCUGCUGGUGUACCAAAAGAAUUUUUACUCGUGCACUGUACGUGCGGGGAGUUUGCGACAGUCAAGGCUUUAGUGAAAUAAAAUGAGAUGCUGCUAUGAAUCGCCUUUGUCCCAUGAUCCUGUGCUCACCAGUCCUACAAUUACCCUUUUCUUCCUAGACUUUAAAGUUGGGAUCAGACACAAGGAUACUUUGAUUUCUUUACCCUACACCAGCCACAGUAUCUGAUUUAAUAUAGGAGCUUAAUAUAACUUUAAUGAGGAGAUAAAUGGAUGAAGAAAGACAGGAGUGAAGAAAUGGAGUCACUGCAAAAAUAAAACAACAAAAGGAGCUUACCAGUGUGCAAGCCUCCGGAGCAGGGACAGGCGUUAGUAUAUUUUAUAUUUUUUAAUUGUGGUAGCAUACAAACCACAAGGUUGACUGUCUGUGCCAUCUUCAGGCGCACACUCAGGCUUCUCCAUCCUCAGGUGCACACUCAGAUCUCCUCCAUCCUCAGGCACACACUCUGGUCUCCUCCAUCCUCAGUGCACACUCAGGUCUCCUGCAUCCUCAGCGCACACUCAGGCUUCUCCAUCCUCAGGCGCACACUCAGGUCUCCUCCAUCCUCAGGUGCACACUCAGGUCUCCCCCAUCCUCAGGUGCACACUCAGGUCUCCUCUAUCCUCAGGCACACACUCAGGUCUCCUGCAUCCUCAGUGCACACUCAGGUCUUCUCCAUCCUCGGUGCAUGCUCAGGUGUCCUCCAUCCUCAGGUGCACACUCAGGUCUUCUCCAUUUUAAGUGCACACACUCAGAUAUUUGUGUCUGUGUUUCCCUGAUGAUCAGUGGUGGUGAACAUCUCUGCAUGCGCUUAUCAGCCACGGGUGAUACCUUAUAUUUUGACGAGGGGUUGAUGGUAGUUAGCCUCAUAGAUGGGCGUUUGAACUUUGUGGUCAAGCAACUCCGCUGCUGUGUUUCUGCACUGAGUGGCUUGUUACUGUCUCCUCGUUACAUAUUGACCAGCUGUCAGUCUGGUGCCUGGAGCUUUGCACCUGUGAGCUCAUCCGAUUCUCA
rnacentral:lncRNA from 1 species